GCAAGUGUGGCAUAGUGGUUUGAGUGCUGGACUGAAAUUCUGGAGAUCAGGGUUCAAUUCUCAGCUUAGCCA